CCGUGGACAGGUUUCCAGCCCAUUGGGGAUUUUUCUGAUUUGUUUACAAAUUGGAUGGGAGUGGGGGAAGGGAGAGAGAGGAAUAGAAUAAACCAUAUGGAUUUUUGUUCUUAGUGUGUCCUUUAAGCUGAAACUAGGAGAACAGAGACCAACAAGAAAAUAACCAACCAGUGUCAACUGAGGAUGUCAUCCAGAUCUGAAAAUUCUGGAUUUCAAGCCAUGAAGCAGAACCUAUUUUUAUCUCUCCAAACGUUUCAUCAAGUACCUGUAUGUGCCAGGCCCUCCAUCAAGUGCUGGAAACACGAGGUCCAGUGCUCGAGUACUGGAGUCAGGCGAAGAGGGUCACAAAAAAGGCGGAGGGCUUGUCUCCUUUGCUGGCUGUGAGCGUCAGACGCAGCCCACCCGUGGAUAGGCAAGCUGUGUUUUGGAGACGAGCCAAGGAAAAUACCCACUGAAUACAAACCAGUCUCACAGAACAUGACCAGCAAAGUGCACAGGAAACACUUUGUUCUCAGCCAGCGCUGCAGAUGGUCUCUCCUCCCUCCUUCCUCAGAGGCCUGAGGGCCCGGGUGGCAGGUAUCGAGGGACCACACUCUCCACGGGUCUGCAAGGAAGGACAAACAGGCCGUGGGGGGGACUCCUCCCGCCUCAGCUGGGAUGUUUCCAGCAUCACACACAGAGGAAGGUCUUCCAGCCCUGGGAGAAAGCUCGGUCUCCUGGGAGCUGCUCCAGAGAGCACAGCCUCCAGAUUAGAGGCCUCCGGGGGUGGGGACCACAGCGGGGUUAGAGGAAAACAUGAUAAGUCCAAGUGGCCCUGGCCGGGGCUCCAGCCUACCCCAUGUCCCCGCUCCCAGCUUGGAUGGCGCAGCUCCUGCCCAGACAAAGGGGUCUCGGGCAUCACAGUUGAGAUUCCAAACCGGUUCCCACUGGUGCUCUCGCUGCGGCUGGUCCCCAAGGCCCUGCUCCAGCCUGGGCGGGAAGGUGACCCCCUGUCCACUGUCUCCUGCUUUUAACCAACUGCCCUGUCAGGGGUUAUGGUGAUGAGGGUGCCUGGUGUCUUCCUUUCUUUCCUCCUCCAGAGAGUUCCCCAACAUUUGGAAAGGCUCACUGCCUGAAGCAAAGGCACUGGGGCCGAGCAAUGGUCCCCUUUCUUCAAGGGAAGGUGUUGACACCCUCGGUGGUGUGUCUGUUCCAACAGCGGUGACCACCACCUGCCUGUCCGCUUCACCUACAAGGCUGGGCUGAAAGCAGGACGCAGGUCAAAGCCGCCGCACCUGGGCACUCGGGAGCCCCACCCGACGGAAAACAGCUUCGUCUGGAGUGAGAGCAGAGCCUGGCCAGAGCCCAGCCGACGAGCGAGGGAGAACCCGCUGGCCUCCUGGAAUCCGUCCCUGCCCCACAAGGGACGGUAACAAGCUCUCAGUGAAGGGCCGGGGGGCGCGGGCAGUGAAGACGGUCCGCUGGAGGUUCUCCUUCCUGUGAGCUGUUUCCCUGCACAAGUGAUGCCCGUGGCCUCUGAUCUCUCCCAUCAGACGUGGGCCUGGGGUGGCCUCGCCCCGCACUGCACCCCAGGCCUUAGGACCCUGGCUGGUUCUAAUACCUUAAGUACUCAAUAUGCAUUUAUUGAAUCAAUGACUUUUCGAUGUCUUUGUCUGUGCAGUGAAGGAGCAAGGAGGCCCCAGCUGUUCCUCUUCGGCACGGGGAGUCUGGAGUGAGGAGGAUCUCCAGAGCCGGAGGAGAGAAGGCCCUCAUCAGCAGCUGUAGAGGGGCCCCCUGGGCUCCCCUCUCCAGAGGAUGCGUGUGCAGCUGCUGAGGGACCCGAGCCCCUCCCCACCUCCCCCUGGUCCCCAAAGGCCAGACCGUGGCCCAGAAGUUUGAGAGAUUUGAUGGCAACUUUAACUCACCCUCCAACACUGAUAGCUGUUAUCUAGGCUCUGGGAGAAAACCCACAAAGCAGGAAACCAGCUUCACUAUAAAUCCCCCCUCUUCACUCUGAGAGGGGCUCUUUGUGCUUCUUCUUCGGAGAUGCUGGGUCCACCUCCCCUUCUGCCUUGCGAUGUCACCCCCGGCACUGACACUGACACCUUCCUCUGUGCUUCAAUCUAACCGAGCUGGGAAGAUGGACCCCAUCGAGGGGAGCCCUCUUAACUUCCCAUGUUUUCCCCUGGAAAAGGGUGGGGAGUUUCACACACCCUCUCUUCUAUCUCCUGUCCUCUUCCUUGUAAGAUCCCAUCUCCCACCCUGGCACCUCCAUCCCUUCCUGCUUCCCCCGACCUCCCUCCACGAGUUAUCCUCACCACCUCUCUCUCUAGAUGCUUCUGAUAAGACUCGAAACACACCUGAGUGUCCACACAAAGAAAUAUUGCUUCUAACGCUUCCCCGGCCCUGCCGCCUCCUCAGACCACCCUCUCUCCCUUCCCUGCUGUGUCUCCAAGUCCAGCUCAGCCCCUGAGGCUGCCCCCGUUCUUGGGCUCUCCCUGAGGCUAACCUUAACCCUAACCGUAACCCCAACCCCAAACCUAACCCUAACCCUAACCCUAACCCAACCCCAACCCUAACCCUAACCCAACCCCAACCCCAACCCCAACCCCAACCCUAACCCUAACCUAACCCGAUGCACGGCCUCCAGUUGACACAGAGAAUGCAUUUGGUCUCGAAGAAGUCUCAGGGACCAUCGAACCUGACCCUCUCCUUUCAAGGCUGAAAGACAACAGAGGUGACAUUACCGGCCCAGAGUCGCAGGAGUUAAGGUUGACUCAGGAUCAGGACCCCGACCUCCCCUUUUCCGUUCAGAGUGCUCUCCACUCCCACUCAGCUCCCCAUCCCGGGACCUCGCACAUUUCAGCCCAGCAGACUUCCCACUCCACAGCUCACCUGGUUCUCUCCCUGCCUCUCCGAAGGCUCCUGCUUGGGCUGGUCCCCUCCCCCGCCCACCCCUUCCCCACUGGCCCACGGAUGCUGCCGUCUGGACACUAACUCUUCCCUACCCCCAAGCUCCCCCUUAGCCAGCCCUUCCAGCCCUACACUUCAUCCUGACGCCAGCGCUCCUCUCCUCCUGUGAUUCAACACAGGGAACCAGUUCUCUGCAUUUACUUCUCCAGGCUCUGCUCUUGAAGUGGGGAGUCUCUCCCAUCUCAUUGCGUUUCUGCAAUAAUGAUGAAGACAGUGUAAACAGACAGAGCUCGUGUUCCUUGGACAGUGGGGAAAAGGGUUGAGGCAAAAGACAUUUUAAAAUAAUUUACUAUCCAACGAUCAGUUUGUUAAAUGUGAAUAUUUUCAUAAUUUCCUUUAAACAGAAUAUAGUUCUCUUUCCAGAGGGCAGAUUUACAUCCUCAACAAAAUUCUUUUCGCAUCUGUCUCAAGUCCUGAGUUAAAGCACCACCGUACGUUUGUCCCGUAGAAGAUAUGCUGGAUGCAGUACCACCGUACCUGCUGCAUAAGACUUAGACAUCCUCUGUUUAGAGAGCUAGUCAGGGAAAUGUUUUUUUUUUUUCUUUCCCUCCCCACAUACCCCCAAGACAGUCCUGCUGAAAAAAAAAAGAAAGAAGAAUUCUAGGACUUGUCCACUGCACCCUAAUAAUAGAAACAAUAACACUUUGUGCAGAAAUGUAUAAUGAGGUUGUUUAAAAUACCUUCUUUGUAACA